rnacentral:rRNA from 1 species
UACGUAGGGGGCGAGCGUUGUCCGGAUUUACUGGGCGUAAAGCGCGUGUAGGCGGCCUGUUAAGUGGGGUGUGAAAGCCCGGGGCUCAACCCCGGGACGCCGCUUCAAACUGGCGGGCUUGAGGACGGAAGAGGGGAGUGGAAUUCCUGGUGUAGCGGUGAAAUGCGUAGAGAUCAGGAGGAACACCAGUGGCGAAGGCGGCGAUCUGGGCUGAUACUGACGCUGAGGUGCGAAAGCGUGGGGAGCAAACAGG